UCACAACGUGCCCUUCGCUUCACCUCACGCAUGGCGCCUUUUGUUAGAGCCUGGCGGUAGCUCGCAGGGGGCCACGUAUUUCAUAAAAUAAGCAAAGCUAAGGCAAGAAUAGCGGACAGUGAACCUCUUACAUCAAGGCAUAACAUGCCUGUAAACGGGACAAAAUUACAUUCUUCUUGAGCUGGCUUCCAAAAUGGCAGUAUCCAUGGCCAUGAUGUCAUCAUGAUGCAACCCAGUGGCUGAAUACUGAUGAAGAGACUGCUUAACCCUUCAGUUACUGCAGUAUUGUUCGUCAGUGACAAACCUCCACUCUAAAUGACAGCAAUGUACUUCUGCAGUAGGUUAGGUUUAGGGAGCACACAUUUAUAUAUCAAAAACAACAGGAAAAAAAUUGUAAAACCUGAUGAUGAAGCCUUUUGAAACCUGUUUUUUUUAUGAAAAAAAGAACAAUUUAGCAUCCACUACAGCGUAACUGUAUAUUUAUAUCAAAGACUCUUCACCUUUAAACUUAUGAUAGUCCCAUUUAGUUACAGAUUAGGGCUUUUAGCCGGAAGUGGUGAAUAAAGUAUAAAGCUUGUGGCACAUAGUGCUUUUUUCCAUUGGCAGAUAUCAUUUCAUAAUUACCCCUUAUAUAUUCAUUUGAUUUUAAUUGCAUUAGACAAUUCUCUUUACAGUAGCCCCAAGAGAAGCUGAUAGCUCAGACACUGGAAGCAGACAUUGACACGGGAGAAUAGUGGCCCACGACUUAAAAUAAUUUCCCACUGGGAAAGCAGCCACACCAUUGAUGUUUUCACACCUGCAAUUUGCAUUUUAGCCAGUGGGAAGGAAACAAGUGAUGUUUUGUCAUCCUCGGUAGCCAGGAUUUAUUGCAGGAGACUAAACAUCCCAUUUGUCAUUGCCCUAAAGCAGGAAGGAUGCUAACAGCACAUAUAUUUAUGGAUAAUGUUUAUAUAGUGCCUUAUAUAUUACUUUGUAUGGAGUGGAAAUAGUUAAGGAGGUUCUAGAGCAGGUUCCUCUCAGUGUCACUUAGAGGGAGAGACUAUAUAAGGAAGUGUCUCAUAUCCUCUUUGGCUGAUGUGAAAAGAAAAGUGAAUGAUGCCAGGGAGCCUGAGCCUUGCCACCUCAUUGGCAGUGAAGAGUUAAGGUGGCCAUACAUGCAGCAAUUUUCUAUCUUUUGUGUGACCAUUGGUCGCAUGAAAGGGCUUUCCCACCCUCCACUGAAGUUCAGGGCUGAAUUUUCAGAUAUGGAGAUAGAAACAAUAGAAAUUCUACCUCCCUCUGCAAGAUUCAGCCCUGAAUGUAGAUUUUGCUCAGGCGCCUUCAAUGGCACCCGAUCAAAAUCUUUUAACCUGGCCAAUUGACGAGUCGACAGAUAUCCGCAGACUUUUGCGAUAUCAGUUGCCUUGUUGAGCCGCUGUACACGCACCGAAUAUCGUAUGGAACAAGGUUUUGUACAAUAUCAUCGGUGCAUGUAUGGCCACCUUUAUGGUAAAAAAUGAUAGGUUAGUGGAGCUCACUGUAGGUGGUGAGAGAUAGUGAGUUAGACUAGUCAAGCUGCUGAGGCUCCAAUGAUGAGUAAGGUAGGGGCCAUUGUAGAGGCUGAUACCAAGAUAGGGACCCAGAAAAAGAGGAAACUAUGGUAACUAGGGCCUAGCCCUAGUAUCUUGACACAUAGCUGUCCCCUGUGCUCUAAAUUUGUAUAGUACUGACGAUUACUAUAGAAGAAGUUAUAUUGGUAACUGUGAAAUAAGUUGUUUCUGUGUUCUUUUGCAAGACCACAUGGACCUCAAGUUUAUUGUAGUGUUAAACUACGUCUAUCCUAUAUGUAAUAGUGGUACAUGCCCUAAAGCAGGGGUGGCCAGACCUAUUACAGUCGCGAUCGACAGAUGACCGGGGAAUGCAGAAGUGCGGCGUGAAUGCGUAUGUAUGUGACGCAGUGCAUGUACACAUUCACGCAGCACUUCCACAUCCCCGGCUUGAUCAUGGUCCACCAGGAAUCCACUGGUGGAUCGACUGGUGGACCGCGAUCAACGUAUUGGCCACCCCUGCCCUAAAGAGUUAAUUUGCAGGUUAAUACUAAAAGAUAUUUGAGUUCCAUUAUUACAGCCUGUUUAUUUAUGGAACGAUUAUGCAUUAUUCUGCAUUACCCCAGGACACAAUGCUAACUCUUGAGCUUUACUAAGUACUUCCAUUACUGUAUUAUUUUUGCAAGCCAGAGCUAUUUCAGUCACUGAUAGCAGAACAAGCCCAAUAUAAACUGCAUUUUUCUCUUAUGAUUAAACCACAACACUCUGCAGAGCAACUGAUUACAGCCACUCCAGUUAUUUCUGGAUUUAGACCAGUACAUUCUACCCAUUCUUUUGUGAUACAAGCUGUAUUCCAGCAAUGCGUGCCUUGACAAGCCAAAACCCAAAAUACAAGACUAACAAACCACGAAGAUGUACUGUAUAUUUUAUGUUUUUACUCAAACAUUUCAAAUGCUAUUGACUGCUGGAGGGGAUAAUUGUUCACACAUAUUGUUCAAACACAAUGCUUCAUUAUAGAAAAGGUCAGUACAGUCACAGGUAGUGGUAGUGAUUACAAUAUUAAACAAUAUAAUGUUUGGCACCUGUUUAGGUUAAUAUGCUUUCAUCUUCACAAGUUAAACAUUAUAUGUAGUCAUGAGCAAAGCUGUCCAGUUUCUCCAGAAACAUUCGAGAAAUCAUGGGGAAUUUGCAAAAUAGUGAAAAUGUAGUGAUAAUUCUCCAAAUGCACUGGAGUACAUGGGAAGGUGAAACUACAUUGCAGUAAAGCAAUGUUUAGCUUUGCAAUAGCAUAUACAUUGUCCUUGUUAGAGAGAAGCUCCUUGCCACUGUGCUCCAACUGUUCUUUGUUUAGAAAAUAAAAAAAGCAUCCCA